rnacentral:rRNA from 1 species
AUUGAACGCUGGCGGCAUGCUUUACACAUGCAAGUCGAACGGUAACAGGCCUUCGGGUGCUGACGAGUGGCGAACGGGGGCGUAAUGCAUCGGAACGUGCCCAGAGGUGGGGGAUAACGCAGCGAAAGCUGUGCUAAUACCGCAUGUUAUCUGAGGAUGAAAGCGGGGGACCAGGCAGCAAUGUUUGGCCUCGCGCCUUUGGAGCGGCCGAUGUCAGAUUAGGUAGUUGGUGGGGUAAAGGCCUACCAAGCCGACGAUCUGUAGCUGGUCUGAGAGGACGACCAGCCACACUGGAACUGAGACACGGCCCAGACUCCUACGGGAGGCAGCAGUGGGGAAUUUUGGACAAUGGGCGCAAGCCUGAUCCAGCAAUGCCGCGUGCGGGAAGAAGGCCUUCGGGUUGUAAACCGCUUUUGUACGGAACGAAAAGGCGCUGGCUAAUACCUGGGGCUGAUGACGGUACCGAAAGAAUAAGCACCGGCUAACUACGUG